CUCCAGCCGGCCGCCGCCCGCGGGCGCGGGAGGGUGCGAGCCGACCGCCUUCCGUCCCGGCGGCUAACCCCUCCCCCGCGACCAGGGCCUUUAAUUAGAGAUGCCGCCAGCUCUUUGCAAAGGGAUAAGAGGCUGAAAGGGGGGCCAGAUCCUGGAGGGAUUGCCCCAAGGUUUGGGAGCGAAAUUAGAACAAGCUUGGAAAAUUAAGAAGAAACAAAGAGUUAAUGUCAUUUUAUCCAGGCUCAAAACGCGCUUUCCAAAAAUUAGAAUGUUCUUUCCCCUCCCGUUGGCCAAAAUAACGUCAGCCCCUGGUUUGAAACUUUUCCUCUCUCGGAAACCCCCAACACCAUCCUCCUUAACGAGCGACUCCCUGGAGAAGGGGUACGCUCCCUCCUAACAGCAGCGCCCUUUCAAACCACAGUUUGAAAUCCGAAGUUCCUGCGGAGUCAUGGUUAGUGCGAACAUGAAUAUAAUAAUUAAUGCCCUGCUGACCAUUAAUAGCUUUAACGGAACUGUUUUUUCAGAGAUGGGCCUUCCGGGGCGAGAAAGGCAGUUAGCCGCCUUGGGCUCCGCCGCCGCCUGCACUUCCGGAGCCGGUUUCUGCAUUUAGGAGCAAUCCGUCCGCAGCCUCGGUGAUCUGCUGAAUGGGAGCAAUGAUGGCGGGUACAUCCCAGGACUGCUGUGAGCUUCUUUCCUCCUCUAGACAUCUGACAGUCUUCAAGGACUUCUGCAGAGGUGUUUAAAGUCCAGGAUCGGCCUGCGGGAAUUUUGAACCUGACUGACCCACAGCUAAGGGGAUAUUAAGUAGCUGAGAGGAAGAAGAGCUAGAUAAAACAAUGCCAUGUCCUCCGUGAACUUCGCCCAAAAACCUACCUUCCUUAUCAUUCCUAUCACUUUUCCCACAAUAUUUUAUCUCAUAAAUUUUCAAACAGAGUUGGAAGAGUUUACAGUAAAUACCACCUAGAUUCUAUGGUUCACAUUGUCCUGUGCUUGCUUUUCCACACUAGCCACCUACCGCUCCCUCUAGCCAUCUAGCCAUUUGGUUACAACACUUGUUUCAACCUUUUGCUUUUGUUAGUUUUAUGUGACUUAAACAGGCUGAUACAUUUCUUGCUUUUUGUUUGUUUGUAUUUCAUUACUAUAUGCCCAGCACCUUCUGGCACAAAGUAGGACCUUAAUAAAUAUUUCUUGAAUGAA